GAUGAAGACGUAGCGAAAUGCGAUACGUAAUGUGAAUUGCAGAAUUCAGUGAAUCAUCGAAUCUUUGAACGCAUAUUGCGCUCUCUGGUAUUCCGGAGAGCAUGCUUGUUUGAGUAUCAGUAAACACCUCAACUUCCAUAUCUUUUUUGAAAUGGGAGUUGGACUUGAGUGAUCCCAACGCUUUUCCUCACCGAAAAGUGGCGGGUUACUUGAAAUGCAGGUGCAGCUGGACUUUUCUCUGAGCUAUAAGCAUAUCUAUUUAGUCUGCCUAAAAAACAGAUUAUUACCUUUGCUGCAGCUAACAUAAAGGAGAUUAGUUCUUGUGCUGACUGAUGCAGGAUUCACAAAGACAGCUUCGGCCGACUUUGUAAACUCGAUCUCAAAUCAAGUAAGACUACCCGCUGAACUUAAGCAUAUCAAUAAGCGGAGGA
rnacentral:misc_RNA from 1 species